rnacentral:rRNA from 1 species
UACGAAGGGGGCUAGCGUUGCUCGGAAUCACUGGGCGUAAAGGGUGCGUAGGCGGGUCUUUAAGUCAGGGGUGAAAUCCUGGAGCUCAACUCCAGAACUGCCUUUGAUACUGAGGAUCUGGAGAUCGGGAGAGGUUGGUGGAAUUCCGAGUGUAGAGGUGAAAUUCGUAGAUAUUCGGAGGAACACCAGAAGCGAAGGCGGCCAACUGGCCCGAUACUGACGCUGAGGCGCGAAAGCGUGGGGAGCAAACAGG